rnacentral:pre_miRNA from 1 species
AGGAGCAACAGCCCUAGUGGCGGGGCCAGCUCUGCAGCCCUGGAUUCAGCUCCGGCAGGAACUACUCGGUCUGCAGGGCCUGGAGGCUCCGGGGCGGG